rnacentral:rRNA from 1 species
UACAGAGGGGGCAAGCGUUGUUCGGAAUUACUGGGCGUAAAGGGCGCGUAGGCGGCCCUCUAAGUCAGACGUGAAAUCCCUCGGCUCAACCGGGGAACUGCGUCUGAGACUGGAAGGCUUGAAUUCGGGAGAGGGAUGUGGAAUUCCAGGUGUAGCGGUGAAAUGCGUAGAUAUCUGGAACGCCAAUGGUGAAAACAGGUAGCUGGGAGUGUGCUGACGCUGAGACACGAAAGCCAGGGGAGCGAACGGG